CUGAAGUCAACUGGGUUUUGCAAUAUGACCCUCCCAGCAAUGCAAGUGCCUUCGUGCAUCGCUGCGGUCGCACAGCCCGCAUUGGCCACGGGGGCAGCGCUCUGGUGUUCCUCCUGCCCAUGGAAGAGUCAUACAUCAAUUUCCUUGCAAUUAACCAAAAACCCUGGGGAUGUGAUGCCAGCCAGGGAAGGUGAAAAUGUGGUGUGUGUGUGUAGUGCCCCCUGCAGGAGAUGAAGCUCCAGAGAAACACAGCGGACCUUCUGCCAAAACUCAAGUCCAUGGCCCUGGCUGACAGAGCUGUAUUUGAAAAGGGCAUGAAAGCUUU
rnacentral:sRNA from 1 species